CCAAAUGAUAGGAAUGCUUAGUGGCGGACUGGUGAGUAACGCGUGAGGAACCUGCCUUUGCAACCGGGAUAACAGUUGGAAACGACUGCUAAUACGGGAUGACGUACACGGACCGCAUGAUCUGUGUACCAAAGAUGCGUCGUGCAAAGAUGGGCUCGCGUCUGAUUAGAUAGUUGGCGGGGUAACGGCCCACCAAGUCGACGAUCAGUAGCCGGACUGAGAGGUUGAACGGCCACAUUGGAACUGAGAUACGGUCCAGACUCC
rnacentral:rRNA from 1 species